UAUGAUAAUUUUUUGUUAUGGAAUUUUUUUGUGAUUAUCUCAGGUUUAAAAAAACACAAGGAAGGCCACUGAAGGAGGAAUUACAGGUGCAAGUUUAAGGUUUGCUUUUUAUUAUCUGGUAUCUUCAAUCUCUACAGAACCCGCCAGGUAAAAAAAACACAAGGAAGGCCAUUGAAGGAGGAAUUACAGUUCUCUUUGUAAACUCUUUACCCUUUCUUCCAUAUUUUUCUUGCACGAUGAGGUGGAAUAGUUACAAGCUAUCAGAAUGUAUCUCUUCAAGAGGUGGAAACAUUCUCAAUUAUGAUAUUUUUGUAUCUGAGCACAAGAAUGUAUAGAAGGAAGAAAGAUGAUAGCACCUACCUUUCAUUUUUUUCUGUUCUAUAGAGAAUUCAACUCGGACAUAUAAUUGCUUGUACACUUGCUGUUCGGCUUGUAGUUUUGCUUGUUUCCUUUUUCUAGAGAUGUUAGUCUUGUUUUUGUUUUUUCAGUUUUUGGUUAUUUGUCAACCUUAUUGAUGGGUUGCAAGAUUUACUUUUCUUUUUUUUUUAUCAGCUCAGUAGUGGCAAGGAGAGUAAACUAAUUUGUUUUCUUAGGUAAUUUGUAGUUUGCCUUUUG